rnacentral:rRNA from 1 species
UACGUAGGGGGCAAGCGUUGUCCGGAAUCACUGGGCGUAAAGCGUGCGUAGGCGGUUUGUUAAGUCUGGAGUGAAAGUCCAAGGCUCAACCUUGGGAUUGCUUUGGAAACUGGCAGACUUGAGUACUGGAGAGGCAAGGGGAAUUCCACGUGUAGCGGUGAAAUGCGUAGAUAUGUGGAGGAAUACCAGUGGCGAAGGCGCCUUGCUGGACAGUCACUGACGCUGAGGCACGAAAGCGUGGGGAGCAAACAGG